GACGAACGCUGGCGGCGUGCCUAAUACAUGCAAGUCGAACGCUUCUUUCCUCCCGAGUGCUUGCACUCAAUUGGAAAGAGGAGUGGCGGACGGGUGAGUAACACUUGGGUAACCUACCCAUCAGAGGGGGAUAACACUUGGAAACAGGUGCUAAUACCGCAUAACAGUUUAUGCCGCAUGGCAUAAGAGUGAAAGGCGCUUUCGGGUGUCGUUGAUGGAUGGACCCGCGGUGCAUUAGCUAGUUGGUGAGGUAACGGCUCACCAAGGCCACGAUGCAUAGCCGACCUGAGAGGGUGAUCGGCCACACUGGGACUGAGACACGGCCCAGACUCCUACGGGAGGCAGCAGUAGGGAAUCUUCGGCAAUGGACGAAAGUCUGACCGAGCAACGCCGCGUGAGUGAAGAAGGUUUUCGGAUCGUAAAACUCUGUUGUUAGAGAAGAACAAGGACGUUAGUAACUGAACGUCCCAUGACGGUAUCUAAACAGAAAGCCACGGCUAACUACGUG
rnacentral:rRNA from 1 species